rnacentral:rRNA from 1 species
AAUACAUGCAAGUCGAACGCUUCUUUUUCCACCGGAGCUUGCUCCACCGGAAAAAGAGGAGUGGCGAACGGGUGAGUAACACGUGGGUAACCUGCCCAUCAGAAGGGGAUAACACUUGGAAACAGGUGCUAAUACCGUAUAACAAUCAAAACCGCAUGGUUUUGAUUUGAAAGGCGCUUUCGGGUGUCGCUGAUGGAUGGACCCGCGGUGCAUUAGCUAGUUGGUGAGGUAACGGCUCACCAAGGCCACGAUGCAUAGCCGACCUGAGAGGGUGAUCGGCCACAUUGGGACUGAGACACGGCCCAAACUCCUACGGGAGGCAGCAGUAGGGAAUCUUCGGCAAUGGACGAAAGUCUGACCGAGCAACGCCGCGUGAGUGAAGAAGGUUUUCGGAUCGUAAAACUCUGUUGUUAGAGAAGAACAAGGAUGAGAGUAACUGUUCAUCCCUUGACGGUAUCUAACCAGAAAGCCACGGCUAACUACGUGCCAGCAGCCGCGGUAAUACGUAGGUGGCAAGCGUUGUCCGGAUUUAUUGGGCGUAAAGCGAGCGCAGGCGGUUUCUUAAGUCUGAUGUGAAAGCCCCCGGCUCAACCGGGGAGGGUCAUUGGAAACUGGGAGACUUGAGUGCAGAAGAGGAGAGUGGAAUUCCAUGUGUAGCGGUGAAAUGCGUAGAUAUAUGGAGGAACACCAGUGGCGAAGGCGGCUCUC